UUUCGGGGUUCCUGGGUGCCACGCAGAUCUCGGUAGAACCUCCAAAUGAAAGAACCUAGUGGGGAAACCCCCACUCAAUUCCCGAUUCAGCGUUCACCCAAGAAUCACGAACAGACGA
rnacentral:pre_miRNA from 7 species